CCCUGGAUGACUAGUGGUUAGGCCUCGGUGCUCUGACUGCCGCGGCUCGGGUUUGAUUCCCAGCCAGGGA
rnacentral:tRNA from 1 species